rnacentral:rRNA from 1 species
AGUGAACGCUGGCGGCGUGCCUAAUACAUGCAAGUCGAACGGAGAUUAAGUAGCUUGCUAUUUAAUCUUAGUGGCGCACGGGUGAGUAAUAUAUAGCUAACUUGCCCAUUACUAAGGGACAACAGUUGGAAACGACUGCUAAUACCUUAUACUCCGUAUCUAUAUAAGUAGAUACGGGAAAGUUUUUCGGUAAUGGAUAGGGCUAUAUCGUAUCAGCUAGUUGGUAAGGUAAUGGCUUACCAAGGCUAUGACGCGUAACUGGUCUGAGAGGAUGAUCAGUCACACUGGAACUGAGACACGGUCCAGACUCCUACGGGAGGCAGCAGUAGGGAAUAUUGCUCAAUGGGGGAAACCCUGAAGCAGCAACGCCGCGUGAAGGAUGACACUUUGCGGAGCGUAAACUCCUUUUCUUGGGAAAGAAUUAUGACGGUACCCAAGGAAUAAGCACCGGCUAACUCCGUG